UGUAUAAACUAGUUUUAAGAUGUAUUUCAUAAAUACAUAUAAGAGACAGUUUUGUCAUAUAAAUGUAUUUUUUUGUUGUUUAGGUCAUUCGUGAUCAAAUAUUUAUGGCCCGGGUAUUGUACAAAUUUGCUCCUUAUAUAGAAUGUUAUACAGUCAAUGACAUUGAAAACCGUAUUAAGACAAUGUUGACGAAGAGUCAGUACAAGAUGUUUUGUACUAAAAGUAUAUUUGGUUUCUUAAUAAAGAAGAAAAAUUGUGUAGUCCAAGCCCAGUUAGGGAGAUGCAUUAUGUCACUUGAAACUAGAGAAAGUUCUACAAGUGCCAUAGUCAUUCAAGCAAAGGGCACAAUUCUUCAUUUCAUUAUUAGAGAGUUUGCUUUGGUGACUGGUUUCAAUUGUGCUACAAAUAAGGAUGAAUUUGUGUUUGACGAGGAGCGCCUAAAUAAAAUUAUUGAUCAAUAUUUUGAUGGUGAGAGUUUUGUACAGAAAAGAAUUUAUAUGCUGCUAUUUUUGAUAAAAUUUAGGUGAAUGAUGACGAUGAAGAUGUGUUAAAGUUUACCAAUUUGUAUUUUAUUCACGCAUUCUUACUAUCAUCAGUUGAUACCGUAGCUAUUUCACGCCUCCACUUUGAUUUGGUUGAGAGUGGUCGCUACAGUAAUUAUCUGUGGGGAUCGGUUGCAUUUGAAGAAUUAGUAAGAAGUUUGCAUAAAAAGUUGAAGCCGAAAGGAAAGUUCUAUAUGCUUCUUGGAAUGCCACUGGUCAUUCAAAUUUGGUUGUACGAGUGUUGUUCAAACAUGCCUCGUAAUGUUGCUUCCAAGGUGGAUUCUCAAAUCCCUUGUAUUUUGAAUUGGAAGACAAAUUCUCCUCGUCCAAAAUAUGAAACUCUUAUGGAAAGUAUGUUUGAUGAUACAGAUGACAAGGUUGUUUUUAAGAAUAUCGAGCCAACAAGAAAGGAGAUUUCAGCUUUUCAUAUACCGAAGAAGCUUGUUCCUGGAUCUGCUAGUCAUAAUGAAGAUGACAUUGAUUCAGAUGAUGAUUUUCAGGAUCCUCCACAAAGACAAAAUCAGUUUACCACAAAGAAAAACAUCAUGGCGAUUUCUCAGCUUCACCUAUAAAGAAAAAAAUGAAGCCACAUCCUAAAGGUGUAGAUGAGCUGAUAUCAAAACGGACCCCUCCACCCCGUGCUGCAAAGAUGCCUCUUUUGUCAGGACUCCAAUUCACAAGCCAAUUCAAACAAAGUUACGCUACGUGAAAAUAGGAAAGACACAAAUCGGCCUGACAGUAAAAAAUCUAUUCUGGUUCAGUCACCUGUUCCGUCUUCGUUCAGUUCUGAAGAUGAAGACGGUGUUGUCUCGAAGAAAGUCUUUGAUAAGUUUUGUGAAAAGGUAUGACAACAGUUUAAUGAUGUUCGUGGCCUAGUGUCUUCCAGGUUUGAUCAGAUAAUGAAUGCAAUCAAUGAAAAUAAGAAACAAGCAAAAGGCAGCGAAUCUGAUCAGCCACCAGCGGAUAAAAUGUUAAGAGUACAUCACCCCAUCAAACGACUAUAAAAUUUGUUCAUGAGUUUAAUAAGAAUCCUGAUGUCACAUUGAUAAGUAAAUUCCGUACAUUUAUAUUCAACUAAUUUUAUAUAUACAAUUUUAAUUUAUCAUUAUAAAAAAUAAUAUUAAAAUAGGUUGCCGAAGAGAUGGCAGGAUAUCAAAGCAACAGUAUGAAUGAUGUGUAUAAUGAGAUUGAUGGGUACAAUGAGGAUAAUGACAUUGUUCUGGUAGAGAUUUUUUUUUGUUACGUAUAGUUAUAAUGAUAAAAAAAAAACUUAUUUUAAUUUUUUAUUAUUUAAUUUUUUAAAGAAAAAAACUGAUAUAGAUGUUCAUGAAGCAAAAGAUGUUUGUGUCGCUCUGGUAUGUUGAAUACAUAUUGAUUAGUUUUUUAGUUCUUCAUAAAUAUUAUUUUAUUUAAUUUGUAUGAACAUGUGUAGAUCACAAAAUCAGUUGACGAAAGUAUUGGUGAAGCACAAAUAUCAGAAUCUCAACUCACAUUUUCAGAUGACGUCCUUAGAAGCAUUGAUCUUGACUCCAUAACAAAAGCCAAUGUUGAAGUUGAAGAUGAGUUCAAGAAUAAAGAAGGUGCGAUUGAUAUGAAUGUAAAUACACCAGCGUGAAUGAGUCAGAGGUUAAUGAUGUGGAUAAUUCAAAGUUAGAUCAGAAAUAUAAGAGUGUAGUCCACAUUCCCGCGGGAGUAAAUAUUGAAAGCAAUGCUGAUCAACAUUUGUCUGACUCUUAGAAUACUCUUUCAGAUGAGCUUCUUCCCAGUCUUAAUGCGUAUGUCAAUCUUGAACGAAGUAUAAUUGUAUAUCCAUCGGCAAAUCAAACACAACAAACGCCAAUGAAUGUUUCAAGGAUUAGACGACCAUCUAGAUACAAUGACUCAUCAUUCACAAUAAAAUUUGGUUCAGCAGAUGGUUAGUACUCUUAACAUAAUUUAUUUAGUUAACAAAUUUGCUUACUUUAUAUUUUUUGCCUAAUGGAUAGUGAAGUAUGAAUUUGAUUUUUCUUGUUCAGUUGUAUUUUUGGAACAACAGUAAAUGUUUUUAAUGAGAUAUGGUUAUAUUUUGAAGAAUAUUUUUUUCAUUUUGAAGUUGGAUAGUUUAGACAUUUUUACUCUGCAUUUGUUCAUAUGUAUUUCAGAAAUACAUCUGUUACAGUUUUCAGACAUGAUUUAGCUUUUGUUUCAACAGUAUACUUAUUGUUUCUUAUAAUACUGCAUUAUCUUAUAUAAUUGAUUAUAUAUACAUAAUUAAUUGCAUAACUUAAUAAUAAAGUAAGCACGGAAGAGCAAUGGAAAACAUUCGAUCAGAAGCAUUCCUUCAUAUCUCAUCCAGUUAAUGCGAUAGAAGACACUAAAGUCAUCAACAAGUUCAUGACUUGGCUUUCAUUAGAUCUUCUUAAAUAUCAUUCGAAGAGGUAUACAGAAUACAACUUGAUAGUACUAACUUUUGUAAAUUAAGAUUAUGCAAAUUACAGACUAAUAUGUAUAAUGAAUAAACAGGAACAGCAAAGAAGAACAUUAUUUGAAGGGAAAGGCAAAAAUAUCAGUUAUCAACUUUGAAAUUUUAUCUGUUGAAGACAAGAAUUGGUUCUACGUUAUGGGUACUCCUAGCCAGACAUGGUCAGAUGAGAUCUAAUUCGCAUAAGAUACGCUUCAUUGUUGUGGGAUUAUGGCACUAGGAAAGCAAACGCAAAGGCACAAAGUGAUGAUGAAGCACCAAUGAGGCCUCUUUGGAUCACUGAGUUAACAGAAGGCAUUGAAGUGGUUGAUAUUUGAUUUGUAUUUUAUUUUGUUGAAGUUAACAACAUUUAAGAUUAGGUGGAUAUUUUUUUUUUGAAUAGAUUAUGGGAUUCAUAUGCUACUUUAAUGGUCAAAGAUGGCAUGUUAAUGUUCCUUUAUUGUUAUCUUAACUUUUUGAUUUUUAAUCGUCUAAUUUCCAGUUUUUC